rnacentral:rRNA from 1 species
GUUGUUGCGGUUAAAAAGCUCGUAGUCGGACUUCUGUCGAGAGCAUCUGUUCCGCUCAUUGGGCGUGCAUUUGGUUUGCUUUGGGCAUAGUUCAGACUAUCUGUGAGGCACUUGACUGUGUGUCCCGAAAGUCUGAUCUUUUACUUUGAGGAAAUUAGAGUGUUUCUCGCAGGCAUACGCCUUGAAUUUAAUAGCAUGGAAUCAUGACUUAGGACUUUACUUCUGAUAUGUUGGUUCUUAGGAAGAAAGUAAUGACCAACAGGGACAACUGGGGGCAUUCGAAUUUAACAGUCAGAGGUGAAAUUCUUGAAUUUGUUAAAGACGGACAACUGCGAAAGCAUUUGUCACGGAUGUUUUCAUUGAUCAAGAACGAAAGUUAGGGGAUCGAAGACGAUCAGAUACCGUCCUAGUCUUAACCAUAAACAAUGCCGACUAGAGAUCGGAGGACGUUGAUUGUCUCGACUCCUUCAGCACCUUCUGACAAAUCAAAGUUUUUGGGUUCCGGGGGGAGUAUGGUCGCAAGAUUGAAACUUAAAGGAAUUGACGGAAGGGCACCACCAGGAAUGGAGCCUGCGGCUUAAUUUGAUUCACACGGGAAACCUUACCAGAUCCAGACAUAACAAGGAUUGACAGAUUGAUGGCU